rfam:Macaca mulatta chromosome 7, whole genome shotgun sequence.
GGAGAAGAUUCCAGAAGGUCUUGAGACACUCCAGAUGAAGGUUGGUGUGGGGCUGUGCUGCUGGAGCACCAGAGAGUGAAAAGAG